CCUACGGGUGGCAGCAGUGGGGAAUAUUGCACAAUGGGGGAAACCCUGAUGCAGCAACGCCGCGUGAGUGAGGAAGUAUUUCGGUAUGUAAAGCUCUAUCAGCAGGGAAUAGAAAAGAAGGUACCUGAAAAAGAAGCCCCGGCUAACUACGUGCCAGCAGCCGCGGUAAUACGUAGGGGGCAAGCGUUAUCCGGAUUUACUGGGUGUAAAGGGAGCGUAGACGGAAAGGCAAGUCAGAAGUGAAAGCCCAAGGCUCAACCAUGGGACUGCUUUUGAAACUGUCAAACUAGAGUACGGGAGAGGUAAGAGGAAUUCCUAGUGUAGCGGUGAAAUCCGUAGAUAUCUGGAGGAACAUCAGUGGCGAAGGCGACUAGCUGGCACAUAACUGACGCUGAGGAGCGAAAGCGUGGGUAGCAAACAGGAUUAGAUACCCUAGUAGUC
rnacentral:rRNA from 1 species